GUUUGGAGAACUGAUGAAAGACUGGAUAGAAGAUUGGUCAGAUGAUGAAAAUUCAGAUCGUGGAGAUAGGUCAGAGAAUGGGAACGUAUUGGAAGAUCUUAAUGAAAACAAUGAGCAUGAUGAUGGUGAGGAAAACAACUCGGAGAUCUCAAAUGAAGAUUACAUUAGUCAGGUAUGGAAGUGGAAUUUUUUGUUGGCAUGCAUGCAAAUUGAAUUAAUCCUGGAAUAUUAUAUGAUAAGUACUUAUGUAUUUGUGUUAUAUUUUUCAGCUCAUUUCCGAAUGUCAUAAUGCGUACGACUAUUACGGUGAAUCCGACGCGGAGACAGGCCUUGAUGUCGAAUCAUUAGCUGCAUCUGAUUCUGGGGAGUCGCAAUCGUCGGUCAUCAUGAGUGAGGUGACAGAAGUUGAGGGUAAAAAGAAUGUCCAAGAUACUGCUAGUGCAGAUGAUAAGAGGGAUAUGUUCAUGCAGAUAAUACAAAUGACUUUUACGUCUCACGAGGCUGCGUAUGAUUUCUACAACAGCUAUGCUAGAGAUAAUGGUUUCAGCAUUAGAAAGAAUAGGGUCAGGUAUAGCAAAACCGA